rnacentral:lncRNA from 1 species
UCAUUUUAAACGACACAAUUUUCUUAAGUUCUAGAUAUAUUAAUUAUAGAUAUAGCUUGUUUAUUAGUGGCACUAUAUGUAUGAUCAUGCCACGGCCCUCAUUAUUCUAUUGUAUGAAUUUGCGUUUAUUCUUUUGAUGGAUUAAAGGACACCAAGUGUGGUUUUAAUUUGUUUGUGGGGUGUAUAUGUUUGUGUUGAGGAAGUAAUCGUCCCUACUCAAAAGUGUAGGUUUGCAUGCAUAAAUUCGUUUCUAUACACGGACAUAUAAAAAAAUUUAUACUAUUAUAUCACUUAAUAAAUCUCAUAGUCUUAAUUAUUUGCUGUAUAUAAAAAAGGGAUUUUUACAUAUACAUCCCAUAUAGCAAACCUUAUAACCACUUAUGUUUAAGGUU